rnacentral:misc_RNA from 1 species
CAGAGUGUGUGUGAACUAAUUCGAAAUAUUCAUAGUCUGAAAUAUUUUUCAUCAUAAUUCAUGUUGUUCACGUGUAAACAAGAAAUUUUGAUACAUUAUUUUUCAAAACACUAGUCAUUAAGUGUAAUAUUUUUUGCAUCGCACUUUUAGACUUGUUACGUAUUCACGUUUUAUGUUGUAUAACUACUAAUAGUUUAAUGAUGUUAUUAAUACCUUAAAUUCGUGCUAGAGCUAUUAGUAUUAGUAUAGAGUAUUAGUAAUACUAAUACUAGUUAUUACAGUGUGCAGUAGGAAUCUCGCUGUUAAUGUUACAGUGAAAGUAGUAUGGCUAUUAAGUAGUACUAGUAGUAUUACUAUUACUACUUUAUAAUGACAUAAGUUGUUGGACAGAAAAUACGAUAAUCAGUAUCUUUCCUCGGUUCCUGUUUUAAUUCCAGCUGUACUGUUGAAAAGUGAUAUUUUCCAAAGCAGAGAAACAAAAGAUAACAAAACUACUUUUACUCCUGGUAGUGUAAUAAAGCAAGAAGCAUGUUCCAGUUUCAAUACUCCCAAAACAUUAGACAUUUCAGAAGAAUGGGGUGUGGAAGAAUGUUAAAAAUGAUUGGUGUUUUCCAGAUUAUUGCUGGCAUCAUUGUAAGUAUAAUUGCCUAUCAAGAAACUUUCUCUUCAUACAACAACUCUCCUGUUGAAGAUGAUGCAGAACCAGAGAAAAUAAUUGGACCAGUGAUUGUUUUUCUAGGGCUUCUAGCAACAUUAUCAGGAAUUUGGCUGUUUGUAUCAGCAAAACAAACACUACUAUUGGAAAGUCAACAACGACAACUACAAAACCAGCUGUCAAGUACAAAUCCACAGCAUCCUCAAGUUUCUGAUAGUAGACCUGCUCAGUCAUACCUUCAAUCACAAGUUGUAUAUUCUUCGACUGGUCAACUAAACCAACCUUUACAUGGAACUGAUAACACUUAUCCUCCCAGUGGACAACCAAACCAACAACCUUUCAUUGGAAGUGGAACUACAUUCCCUGCCUAUGAACCUUCCAGUCUACCUUUCUUUGGAACUGUAAAUACUUACUCUUCCACUCAUUGUUUCCCGCACCAGAUACCACCACCUUGUUUAAUUUCAGGAUAUUCUCCAGCUUAUAAUGGAAGGAACCAGCAGCAACUUUAUAGUCAAAGACAAUUCCCAUUUAUUCCUUCUGGUUCUGACUCAGCACCAAUAUAUGCUGUUUGAAAAUUGUUAUUCAUGAAAAAAAAUAGUUUCAUUUACUAAGCCUUAAACAAUAUUAAACACUGACUUUAAUUUAUAUAUCUAUAUAUAUAUAGCUUGGAAAGACUUUAUUUUAUUUACAUUCCACUUUUGAAUGUUAACGUCUACAGUUUAGUUUGUUUUAAUAUUUAUGGAGGUGCAAAGGUUGUUAAUUUAUCAAAAAGAAUGGAAGGUAAGUAAUUGCAAGAUAAAUUUCUAAAGUAUGAACAAGAUUGAAGAUGUGUGUAUGAUAUACUAAUGGGAGUGUUAAACUUCUGUUGAGCCUUAAGUGAUAGACGUUCUGUGAUAAUAAUUAUUAUGUGAUGUUACUUGUAUAAAAAAAACAACAAUACAUUUUAUUCUUAAUUGUAGUUAGUUUUCUCUGUUAUUUUGUAUUUUCUUAAGUUCACGUACAGCAUCAGUACAUUGAGUGUAGAUACAGUAAGAUUGUGCUAUCCUGAAAAUAAAGCUAAGAUUCUGUACAAAUACUAAAAAUAAUUUAUGUAGCUCUACUAAAUUAUAAUAACUGCAUGAAAAAUCACACAAGAUUACUUUGAAAAUGUUAGUUUUAAUGAAAUAAAUCAUUGUUUGAUAUAUUACUUUACAUACUUCUAUUAAUCUCAUUUGUUUGAAGACUCACAGUUAUGUAAUGUUAUUUUUUUGUAGUUAAUAUCAAACCAGUAGGCAAUACAUCAUCUUAAAUAGAUGUAGCUGUGGUUUAAAUGCCAGUAUUGAAUCAGCUUGUAUAACCAGUAGACAAUACAUCAUCUUAAAUAGAUUUAGCUGUGGUUUAAAUGCUAUUAUUAAAUCAGCUUGUGUAACCAGUAGGCAAUACAUCAUCUUAAAUAGAUUUAGCUGUGAUUUAAAUGCCAGUAUUAAAUCAGCUUAUAUUGCAUUAAGGCAUACUCUGUAAUUUUUUCUGUGGUGUAACUACCACUGUGAUAGCAGCUUGUAUUCUAUUGAAAUACAUGAUACAUUCUCAUUCGUAAAUAAAAUACCAUUUUUAGAUGUC